rnacentral:rRNA from 1 species
CCUACGGGAGGCAGCAGUGGGGAAUCUUGCGCAAUGGACGAAAGUCUGACGCAGCCAUGCCGCGUGAAUGAUGAAGGUCUUAGGAUUGUAAAGUUCUUUAGCCUGUGACGAUGAUGACGGUAACAGGAGAAUAAGCCCCGGCUAACUUCGUGCCAGCAGCCGCGGUAAUACGAAGGGGGCUAGCGUUGUUCGGAAUUACUGGGCGUAAAGCGCGCGUAGGCGGUUAUGCAAGCCAGAGGUGAAAUGCCUGAGCUCAACUUAGGAAUUGCCUUUGGAACUGCAUGGCUUUGAGGACGAGAGAGGUGAGUGGAAUUCCCAGUGUAGAGGUGAAAUUCGUAGAUAUUGGGAAGAACACCGGUGGCGAAGGCGGCUCACUGGCUCGUUUCUGACGCUGUAGCGCGAAAGCGUGGGGAUCAAACAGGAUUAGAUACCCUGGUAGUCCACGCUGUAAACGAUGAGUGCUAGGCGUUGGCACGCUUGCGUGUCAGUGCGCNGCUACGCGUGAGCACNCCGCCGUGGGAGGUACGGUCGCGAGAGUUAAACUACAAGUAGAAGUUAGACGGCGUGAGACGUUAGCCGACGGACGACGACGAGGGGAGGAGGG